CAUGGGGGCACCUGCAUCAGCCUAUUACGCGUGAGUGAAGAAGGCCUUCGGGUUGUAAGCUCUUUCGCAAGGGAAGAAAACUUAUGACGAAUAAUCAUGAGGUUGACGGUACUUGAUAAGAAGCACCGGCUAACUACGUGCCAGCAGCCGCGGUAAUACGUAGGGUGCGAGCGUUAAUCGGAAUUACUGGGCGUAAAGCGUGCGCAGGCGGUUUUGUAAGUCGGAUGUGAAAUCCCCGGGCUCAACCUGGGAACUGCGUACGAAACUGCAAAGCUAGAGUGUGUCAGAGGGGGGUAGAAUUCCACGUGUAGCAGUGAAAUGCGUAGAGAUGUGGAGGAAUACCAAUGGCGAAAGAAGACACCCUGGGAUAACCCUGACGCUCAUGCACGAAAGCGUGGGGAGCAAAACAGGAUUAGAUACCCUGAUAAUCCACGCACCUAAACGAUGUCA
rnacentral:rRNA from 1 species